GAUGAACGCUGGCGGCGUGCAUAACACAUUCAAGUCGAGCGGAGCUGUGUGGAAUGAACCUUCGGGGAAUGAAGUACAGCUUAGUGGCGGACGGGUGAGUAACGCGUGAGCAACCUGCCUCUAUGUGUGGGAUAACGUCGGGAAACUGACGCUAAUACCGCAUGGUACGUAUUUGGCGCAUGGCAGAUACGUCAAAGAUUUAUUGCAUAGAGAUGGGCUCGCGUCUGAUUAGGUAGUUGGUGAGGUAACGGCCCACCAAGCCGACGAUCAGUAGCCGGACUGAGAGGUUGAACGGCCACAUUGGAACUGAGAUACGGUCCAG
rnacentral:rRNA from 1 species